rnacentral:rRNA from 1 species
AUGGCAGAGCGGAUUGCUCACCCUCUCCAAACCGCGUUCCUGAAGGGUCAGCGAAUCCAUGAUGGGAUCUUGGCCCUUCAUGAAAUUGUCCAUGAGGUGGCUUCGCGGUGCCAUAAGGGCGUCUUCCUUAAAUUGGAUUUCUAGAAGGCAUACGAUCGCCUGGAUUGGUCCUUUUUGAGGUUGGUGAUGUAG